rnacentral:sRNA from 1 species
UCCUGGGCUGGGGCUGUGCCACCCAGAAAUCGUUCUUGGGUGUCACAGUGGGUGAGGCAGACAGCGUAGGCCCAAUUUCAGCCUCCAGCUCUAGGGAACAGAGACCACUGCCACCUAUACUUCUUUACUCACUUGCCUUGUUCCCUGAAGUUUCUCUGGCAGAUGGGUGAUUGGGUAGGGAGAGGAUGAUGCCACUUGCCCGGGGGCUUCUUGCCAGGAACUGAAGAAACACCAGGAGGAAGAACAACAAUCGGAGAAAAAACUCCAGCCACCUAAGAAGUUAAAUGUGCCGCAACCACCAGUGGCGAAAUUGUGGACAUCACA